UACGAAGGUGGCAAGCGUUGUUCGGAUUUACUGGGCGUACAGGGAGCGUAGGCGGUUGGAUAAGCCCUCCGUGAAAUCUCCAGGCUUAACCUGGAAAGUGCAGAGGGGACUGUUCAGCCAGAGGAUGGGAGAGGAGCGCGGAAUUCCCGGUGUAGCGGUGAAAUGCGUAGAGAUCGGGAGGAAGGCCGGUGGCGAAGGCGGCGCUCUGGAACAUUUCUGACGCUGAGGCUCGAAAGCGUGGGGAGCAAACAGG
rnacentral:rRNA from 1 species